UCUUUCUCAGGUGGCAGACCUUAUGGAGGACAGGGUAUAGCUUCUUCAGGAAGCAGCCAGUAUAGUGGACAGGGCUUUUCUUCAGGAGUCAGACAGUCUGGUGGACAGGGUGGGUGUGUGUGCCC